rnacentral:rRNA from 1 species
UACAGGGGGGGCAAGCGUUGUUCGGAAUUACUGGGCGUAAAGGGUGCGUAGGCGGUCCGCUAAGUUGGAUGUGAAAACUCUGGGCUUAACCCAGAGCCUGCAUUCAAAACUGACGGGCUAGAGUUCUGGAGGGGGUAGCGGAAUUCCUGGUGUAGCGGUGAAAUGCGUAGAUAUCAGGAGGAACACCGGUGGCGAAGGCGGCUACCUGGACAGAAACUGACGCUGAGGCACGAAAGCUAGGGGAGCAAACAGG